CAAUAGCGUAUAUUUAAGUUGUUGCAGUUAAAAAGCUCGUAGUUGGAUUUUGGGUCGGGGGCACCGGUCCGCCGUUCCGGUGCGCACUGGUGGCCCCUUCCUUUCUGCCGGGGACGUGCGUCGCACUUAAUUGGGUGGCGUUCGGAGUCGGCGUUGUUACUUUGAAAAAAUUAGAGUGUUCAAAGCAAGCCAUCGCUCUGAAUACAUUAGCAUGGAAUAACAUGAUAGGACUCCGGUCUUAUUUUGUUGGUUUCCGAGACUGGAGUAAUGAUUAAGAGGGACAGUCGGGGGCAUCCGUAUUUCAUUGUCAGAGGUGAAAUUCUUGGAUUUAUGAAAGACGAACUUCUGCGAAAGCAUUUGCCAAGGAUGUUUUCAUUAA
rnacentral:rRNA from 1 species